UUUAUGUUUAAAUAUAAUUAUUUUGUUAUUUUAUAUAAAAAAUGGAUAAAUCUUGGAUAUCUAAACUUCGCAACACAAGAGAAUAUAUGAAUGGUUUUGAAAGAUUUUUAAAUUUUGCUUUUGCAAACAGUAGUGUUGAGGGUAAAAUUAUUUGUCCUCAUCUUAAGUGUAACUUUAGAAAAUGAAAUGUUUGAGAGGAGGUUUGAAACCAUUUAAUUGCUAAACCAUUCCCUUUUAGAUAUACAUGUUAGGGUUUAUAUGGUCAAAAACGUGAAUUUAGAGGAACUACUUCCAGUGGUCUAGUUAACAUAGAAAAUUAGAGAACAAGAAAAUGAGACAAGUGGUCAUAUUCAUGAAUUAGUUUGUGAUGUAUUUGGGGUGCAAUAAGAAAAUAAAACUUCAAUUCUAAUUGAAGAGUUAUCACAAAAUCAAAAUCAAGGGAUGAAUGAAGAGACAAAAGAAUUUUUUGAAUUAAUGCAACAUGGGCAAGAGCAAUUAUAUGAUGGGCAUGAGAAAUAUUUAAAAUUAUCUUUUUUAAUUAGAUUGUACCAUAUUAAAUGUUUUUGUGGUAUAAGCAACAAAGCUUUAUCAAUGAUUUUGGAAUUAUUACUUAUGAAGCAAAAAAGACUAUUACUAAGUUAGGAUUGGAGUACAAAAAAAUUGAUGUUUUCCCAAAUGUUGUAUGUUAUAUUAGGGAGAAGAUGACAAAAGAAAAACCUGCAAAAUAUACAAUACAUCAAGACGGAAAUUGAUAUCUAAAAAAAAGUGAAAAAACUUGUGAAAAUUUUGAGAUACUUUCCAUUAAAGCCAUGAUUGCAAUGACUGUUUAUGUCUUCAAACUGCAAAGCAUAUGAGGUGGCAUGUAUAUAAACAGAAUAUUGAUGGUUUAAUGAGGCAUCCAAGGGAUUCUGAAGCAUGGAAAAUUUUUGACAUGACUUAUCCAAAUUUUGCUUUAGAACCUCAAAACAUAUGAUUGGCAUUAGCAAUUGAUGGUUUCACUUCUUUUAGAAUUUUGAGUAGUGCUUAUAGUAUUUGGCCAGUGGUUCUUAUGCCUUAUAAUCUUCCCCCAUGGAUGUGUAUGAAAUAGGGCUCAUUAAUACUUUCAAUGAUAAUUCCCAAAUGAAAAGCUCCAAGAAAUGACAUUGAUGUGUAUUUGCAGCCCUUAAUUCAAGAACUUUUAGAUUUGUGGAAUGUUGGAGUGGAAACAUAUGAUUCUUACUCCAAUGAAAUGUUUAGGAUGCGUGCAGCACUUAUGUGGACAAUUAGUGAUUUUCCUGGUCUUCGAACAUUGUCUAGAUGGAAUGUUCAUACAAGAUUAGCAUGUUUGACUUGUAAUUUUGAUUGCUUAUCAUUUCGACUAUCAUUUUGAUGCUUUUCGAUUUGAUGGAAAAUCAGAGUUGAGAAUGCCACCUAAGGUUUAGUCAGGGUGAGAAAUUUUGAACCAAGUUGAAAGUGUUAAUGUGAUAUUUGGCAAGGGUAAUGAUGAAAGAUCUAAAAAAAAGGGCUCAAAAUUCAAGUGGUAAGGACUCUCAACAGUGGCAUAAGAGAAGUAUAUUUUUUGUUUUACCUUAUUGGUCAAAUAACAUGCUUUGCCAUUGUCUUGAUGUGAUGCAUAUUGAGAAGAAUGUUUGUGACAAUAUUCUUUUCACAUUAUUGAAUGAGCCUGGAAAAUCAAAAGAUUAUUUACAAGCACAAAAAGAUUUAAAAGAAAUGGGCAUUAGACUAGAUUUGUGGCUAGAUGAUAAUGAAAAAUUUCAUCCGGCCAAGUUUACAUUGAGCAAGUCUAAUAAAGAUGUCUUUUUUAAAGCAUUAAAAAAUAUCACCAUUCCUGAUAGAUAAGAGUAACAUUUCUAGAUGCAUUAAUUUGAGACAAUAGGAGAUUGGGGGGCUAAAAAGUCAUGACUCUCAUGUUUUGAUGCAGCAAUUGCUUCCAUUAGCAAUGAAAAAUACUCUUACAAAAGAAGUAUCAACUGUGCUGACUAUUUGUAUUUUAUUUUUAAAAAAUUGUGUGAAAAGGUUGUGAAUGUGAGUAAUCUUGACGAGCUUCAAAGUCGACUUGGUAUCACUUUAUGUCAUCUAGAAAUUUUUAAUUUGCCUUCUUUCUUCACUAUCAUCAUCCAUUUAAUUGUGCAUCUUGUUGAAGAAGUCAAGCUCAGAGGUCCUAUGCAAUAUUGAUGGAUGUAUCUUAUAGAGAGGUGAGUGAAAAAUAUAUUUUUUGGAUAUCUAGAAAAUAUGUUUCUCUUCACAAUACAAUUGUACAUUUAUAUUAAAGUUAUAAAUUGUUUGGAGGUUACUGGGAAAAUUUAAAUCAUAUGUUUGAAAUAAAGCUUGGCCAAAAAAUUUAAUUGCAGAAGGUUAUGUGGGUGAAGAAAUAUUAUUAUUUUAUUCUAGAUAUUUAGAGGGAGUUGAGACAGUUUUCAAUCGCCCUCAUCGAGUUGGUGAUGAACCUAUUAUCAACUUUCUGCACUUACUAUAUUCUCUCUAGUUAGAAAAUAUGUGGGUGGGUUUGAAUAUUUUACUCUCACUCCCAAAGGGAGAUUAUAAGCACAUCGGCACGUGCUUACAAAUUAUUGAGAAGUGGAUCUGUUUGUUGAGUAAGUAUUUGAUGAUAAUGUUAUUUUUAGUGAGUUUAUUAUUUUGGAAAACAAUAUUAAGUUAUUCUUAAUAUAGGGAAUUUCGAAGAGUUGUAAAAGGACAAUUACGAAAUAGAACUUGAUCAUCUCUUGAAGUUGAUAAGAGAGUUCAUAGAGAAUUUGUUGAUUGGUUUUCUUAUAGAGGAAGAAGAAGAUGAACAGGUGGAGAACAUGAGUUAAUAUGCGUGAUAGUACCUCCUAUCUUGACUACCACCCUAUGCUAGCUUAUGAUGUUAGCCAAUCAUUUAGUAUUUUUGCUAGUGUUUAGCCUAUGUAUAUAUUACUUUUGACUCAAUGUCACCCGUAGAUGAUAGAGUCAUGCUUGAUGCUCUUAAUGACUAUUUAAAUCAAAGCCAAAAAGGGACACCCAUUCAACAAGAGGAGGCAUCAUGCAUCAAGAGGAGCUUAGGGAACAAGAAUCUAUGUAGAGACGAAGGCAUACUCGUCGUGGACAAGAUUCCAAAAGAAGAGGAUUUUGAGUAACGGUUAUAGGGUUAUUUUUUGGUUGAUGAUUUCGAGUACAAAAAGUUUAUUUUAAAAGCAAUGGGAGAAAAGUGGAAAUACUCAAAAUAUGAUUUGUGUAAAAACAAUCAAGAUGGUACUAAAUCAGUAGAAGAAUUGAAGAAUGCUGUGUCAAGUGGUGUCUCUAGAGAAGAUUGGGCAACAUUCAUUGAUCAUCGUUCAAAUCCCAACACCCAAGAAGAAGAAGAUGGACAACAAGUGAACUUUGUAGAGCUUUACAAAGCAACUCAUUUAAACAAAGAGGGCAAUCCUUCCAAUGAAGAAACGGCUGCAGCCAUUGUGAGAUAAUAAUUAUUUGAUUAACAAUUAACAAUUCAAAAUUUUUCUAAUUUUUCUUUUUUUAAUUAGGAAAAGCUCAAAGAAUAUAUGAAAGUCAGUAUUCAUUAGAUUUUAGUGUUGGUAAUGAUAUUUCACUACAAGGUUUAGGCCCAAAUCACUAUGGACGUGUGAGGGGAUUGAGAUUAGCUCCAACAUCGACACAAGUAUUUAGAUGUUCUCGUUCAAGUCAAGGUACAUUAGGCCCUUUUGCAGAAAAUGAAUUUGACCAAAUGAGAGUAAGGAUGUCAUAAGUUGAGGAGUAAAAUAAAAGAUUGCAAGAAGAGUUGGAUCUAGAAAGAGAAAGGAUGGCUAUGGAAAGAGAAAGAGAAGAGAAAGGGAAAGGGAAAGGGAGGAAUGAUUUUUGACCAUGCAAAAGGAAAUGGAAGAAAGAUUCAUGCUGUCGAUGGAAGAAAUGAAAUGGCUAAUGCGACACUUUAAUUCAGUAAUUAUGCUUAACUUGUUUUAUUUAUGCUUUUUUCAUCUUAUAUUUUCUAAUGUUACCUAUUUGCUAUUAUUUGCAAGAUUCAU